rnacentral:rRNA from 1 species
AACGAACGCUGGCGGCAGGCUUAACACAUGCAAGUCGAACGCUCGUAGCAAUACGGGAGUGGCGGACGGGUGAGUAACGCGUGGGAACGUGCCCUGAGGUACGGAAUAACUGAGGGAAACUUCAGCUAAUACCGUAUGAGCCCCGAGAGGGGGAAAGAUUUAUCGCCUUGGGAGCGGCCCGCGUCGGAUUAGCUAGUUGGUGGGGUAACGGCCUACCAAGGCUUCGAUCCGUAGCUGGUCUGAGAGGACGAUCAGCCACACUGGGACUGAGACACGGCCCAGACUCCUACGGGAGGCAGCAGUGGGGAAUCUUGCGCAAUGGGGGCAACCCUGACGCAGCCAUGCCGCGUGAACGAUGAGGGCCUUAGGGUUGUAAAGUUCUUUUACCCGUGACGAUGAUGACGGUAACGGGGGAAUAAGCUCCGGCUAACUUCGUGCCAGCAGCCGCGGUAAU